AUGACAAAGUACUAUUACGAAAUGAAAAAAUAAUUCUUAAAAUGUUUUUUAAAAAAUUAAAGAAGAAAACAUAUUCAUGCAACAAUAGAUCGCCAAACGAAAAAUUGGUUGACCUGCUAAAUGCAUCUAGGGAUGGGAGAACCGAUAUAGUAAAGAUACUCAAAGAAAAUGGAGUAGAUUUAAAUGAUAUCCCUUUAGAUCAAAAAAACGGACAAGGUUUAUCAGCUUUGCAUAUCGCCGCACGUUACAAUCAGCCCGACUGCGUUAUAGUUCUUCUUGAAAAUGGAGCUGAUGCUAAUAAAAAAGAUAAUUUUGGUUUUCAAGCAUGUCACGAUGCAUCAUUAAAAGGUCAUUAUGAAUGUUUAUAUAAUAUUUUAAAGUAUCAAAAGUUUCCAGUUUCAGUAAAAGAUUUAGAUUACAUAACACCCAUGUUUUAUGCAAUUCAAAAUAACCACACAGAGUGUUUAAAUCUACUUACCGAAUAUAUGACAAUAUCAAGUAAUGCUGUUGUUGAAAUAUAUUCAAAACGAAAUGUUGAUAGCCGAGUUCUUCAGAUGGUUGACCCGCAAAAAAUAGUGGAUGCACGCAUUGACGGAUCCAGGAAUUUUUGGUGGUGGUGGUGGGGGUCAAUGUUGAAAUAUUUUGUAUCACAGUUGCGUCUCUUUAAAAGUAAAAAAAAGGUCCUCACUAAAGACUUACCAAUUGACAAAAUAAGCGAGUAUCUUAAUAACUGCGCAAUGAACGGAGAUCCGAAAGCAUUUUAUUGGUUUAAAAUGAACAUAAAAAACAUUUCACAAGAACAAAUUAACCAAUCUAUGUUAGUCGCUGUGCAACAUGGUUGGAUUAAUUAUGUGGAGAGCUUACUAAACGAGGGAUCUGAUGUAAACACAAGAAGUAAAGAUCAAUCUACAGCACUUCAUUACGCAGCCAAAUAUGAUCAUGUGGAACUCAUUGAAAAACUAUGUAUCCGUGGAGCUCAGAUAAACGCUAAAAACAACGAAAAAUGGACUCCAUUACACAUAGCAAUUUUACAAGAUAACACCGAUAGUGUCAAGCAGUUGCUAAAGUGUUCGUGUAAUGUAAACGAACAAGGGGUUCUUCAUUCAUAUUCAAAAAAGGUUGGAAAAUUUCAUUAUUAAAAAGCAAUAAGCUGGUAUUAUCUGCAUUCUAUGAUACUUAAUAGAUAUGAGGUGCCCCAAGAAGUCCUUAUGGUCUUAUUAUCAUAGAACACCGCAGAAGAGCAUUUGAAAAGAAGUUAACGCCUCCUUCCUUACCGAUGUUAAUAACUUGCCAAAAGGUGGCGGAUCUCUAGCUUCUGAGGCAAGCGCGC
rnacentral:misc_RNA from 1 species